UCACGACUUGCGUCGGCAGUCUUGCUAAAGUCCCCGACAUUACUCGCUGGCAACUAACAAUAAGGGUUGCGCUCGUUGAAGGACUUAACCUAACACCUCACGGCACGAGCUGACGACAACCAUGCAGCACCUUGCGCUCCGUCCGAAGACUAAAUUGUUUCCAACUUAUUCGUAGCACAUUUAAGCCUUGGUAAGGUUCCUCGCGUAUCAUCGAAUUAAACCACAUGCUCCACCGCUUGUGCGGGCCCCCGUCAAUUCCUUUGAGUUUCAAUCUUGCGACCGUACUCCUCAGGUGGAUCACUUAUCACUUUCGCUUGACCACUGAUAUAAAAAUACCAAUAGUUAGUGAUCAUCGUUUACGGCAUGGACUAC
rnacentral:misc_RNA from 1 species